GUUUUCAAUGAGCUAGUGUACAUGUACGAGUUCAUCUUGUUGGGUUUUUGGGUUUCUGGGCUCAUAGCUUUUCUUUUGUCAUUUUAAAAGUAACUAACAAGCAAACUGUUUCUUUGCUUCAAAAAAAAAAACACAUCAGAGAAAAUCAAUGGACUACCAAUGCAAUGUAAAUUUGUAAAUAGUUAUUGUAAAUUUGUAAAAACUUUUUAAGAAAUAGUUAUUGUAAAUUUGUAAUACCAAUGCAAUGGAAAAUCAGAAAUUAUAAUUUAAAAUGUUUAGAAUUGCUGCAUCAAUAAACAAGAUACCUUGCAAAAUUUGAAAGAGUGUGUUCUCGUACAUCAUUCCCUCUUUUGAAAAAUAAACUUUUUGGUUUCUUGACAAAGUCAUGUAAACAACGAACUGUAUCAUUCGAUAACUGUAUACAUUAUACAAUAUGUGAAACAACAUAGAAAAAUCAGAAUCCUCAGUGUAAGAUCUUGGGAAUAUGUUUAGAAAUGAAACUAUGAGUGAAACUAGAGGAAAUAGAAAAUGGUGGAAUCAAG
rnacentral:lncRNA from 1 species